rnacentral:lncRNA from 1 species
AUAUAGAGAGAGAGAGAGAGAGAGAGAGAGAAAGAGUAGGACUGUGUUAUUAGAAGCACGGAUGCUUUCGUGUUUCUAAGCCGGUUUUUAUGAUGUAACUUCAAAAUCGACAACCGCUUCCGUUAGACUUGAUCUAGCGUAUUUGAACUAUCUAGAAAAUAAAUUUUGUAAUUUUGCGGUAUCAUUUAUUUAGCGAUCGAAAAGACUCAAAAUAAAUGGUUGAAAAUAAAAAUCUCACAAAAACUUAUGAUUUAAUAUUAAAAUUUUCAAUCAGAGAUAUUGAUCUUGUUGUAGAUAGUAUAAAAUUUUUUUUAUCAAAAUUUUAUUUGAUUUGAAUAUUUUUACAUCGUUAAACUUGCUAAUAGUAUAAAUCAACUAUUAAAAAUUGCUGAUUUUAAAUUAUUUUAAUCACUAGAAGGUAAAUAAUAUCAAAAAUUCGUAAAAAUUAUUUUUAAAUACUUUAAAUAUGUUAUAUCAAAUCUAACGGAACUGAUCGUCAAUUCGAAAGUCUUAUAAUCGAAAACGAUUUUAGAGCACGGAGGCCUCCGUGCUGCUAACAGNCGAGAGAGAGAGAGAGAGAGAGAGAGAGAGAGAGAAAGAGAGAGAGAGGGGGAGAAAGAGUAGGACUGUGUUAUUAGAAGCACGGAUGUCUUCGUGUUUCUAAGCCGUUUUUGAUGAUGUAACUUCAAAAUCGAAACUGCUUCCGUUAGACUUGAUCUAGCGUAUUUGAAUUAUCUAGAAAAUAAAUUUUAUGAUUUUGCUGUAUCAUUUAUUUAGCGAUCGAAAAGACUCAAAAUAAAUGGUUGAAAAUAAAAAUUUCACAAAAACUUAUGAUUUAAUAUUAAAAUUUUCGAUCAAAGAUAUUGAUCUUGUUGUAGGUAGUAUAAAAUUUUUUUUAUCAAAAUUUUAUUUGAUUUGAAUAUUUUUACAUCGUUAAACUUGCUAACAGUAUAAAUCAACUAUUAAAAUUUGUUGAUUUUAAAUUAUUUCGAUCACUAGGUAAAUAAUAUCGAAAAUUCGUAAAAAUUAUUUUUAGAUACUUUAAAUAUGUUAUAUCAAAUCUAACGAAACUGAUCGUCAAUUCGAAAGUCCUAUAAUCGAAAACGAUUUUAGAGCACGGAGGCCUCCGUGCUCCUAACAGCAUACAAAUCCUUCUCUCUCUCUCUCUAUCUCUAUAUAUGUAUAUAUUAUGCACUACAAAUAUGUUAGUGAUCAACUCUAGCUGGCAUAUUCAAUGAAGUGGAUGGUUAAAUUGAACAUAAAUAAGUUGAAAAGGGAAUGAUUUUGAAAAUUGAUUGAUUGAUUUGAUUUUGUAUCUUCUACAAAUGUUUAGUGUUUAAUCAUUUUUACUUUCUCUCCAUUCAUACAUUUGCUUAUUUAAAUUUUGAACAUUACAAAAUUUGUGAUGAUAAAAAUUACAAAAGAGUCCAAGGAAGAAACAUGUUAUUUUAUGUAGUUGCAUAAAUAAUAGGAGUGGAUAGGGCAGGUUGGAAAUUGUAUCUUGUUCAUGUGUGAAAGUCACCCUACAAGCAUCUUAUAAUCCACAAAUUUUCACUCCUAAUAUGGUAGCAAUUUGACCAACUGUUCCUAGCGCAAGUGGCAAAUGACUUAGUAGUUUGUAUCCGAGAUCCCUAGUUAAAAUCUUAGUUGAUUCACAUUUCUAGCUAAGUUUAUUUCUAAAUGAAAUAAACGAAGCGGGUAACAUGUUACCUAUCUCUAAAAAAAAAAAAUUAUGAUAGCAAUUUGUUCAGCAAACUGUAUUUAAAAAAAAAUGUUGAAAGGUUUUUCAAAAGGAAAAAGAUAAUUUUGGAGUUAAA